rfam:Coccomyxa subellipsoidea C-169, whole genome shotgun sequence.
UCACUUACCUGUCCGGCUCGGCACCGUGAUCACGAAGACGGUCCGGGUAUCCCCGCUGCUUGCCUUGAACUCAGCUUGCGGCGGCGUGGUAGGACUGCUCCAAGAGGGUAUCUCCACGGAAUAAUCUUUGGUAGGCCUGGGAUUAGCGAAAACUCAUCCGGGG